rnacentral:rRNA from 1 species
AACGAACGCUGGCGGCAUGCCUAACACAUGCAAGUCGAACGAGGUUUCCACUUCGGUGGUUUCCUAGUGGCGCACGGGUGAGUAACGCGUGGGAACCUGCCCUGUGGUACGGAAUAACUCCGGGAAACUGGAGCUAAUACCGUAUGUGUCCUGUGGGACAAAGAUUGCAUCGCCAUGGGAGGGCCCGCGUAGGAUUAGCUGGUUGGUGGGGUAACGGCCGUACCAAGGCAACGAUCCUUAGCNGGUCUGAGAGGAUGAUCAGCCACACUGGGACUGAGACACGGCCCAGACUCCUACGGGAGGCAGCAGUGGGGAAUAUUGGACAAUGGGCGCAAGCCUGAUCCAGCAAUGCCGCGUGAGUGAUGAAGGCC